rnacentral:rRNA from 1 species
CCUACGGGCGGCAGCAGUGGGGGAUAUUGCACAAUGGGGGGAACCCUGAUGCAGCGACGCCGCGUGGGUGAAGAAGCGCCUCGGCGCGUAAAGCUCUGUCAGCAGGGAAGAAAAUGACGGUACCUGAAGCAGAAGCCCCGGCUAACUACGUUCCAGCAGACGCGGGAACACGUAGGGGGCAAGCGUUAUCCGGAGGUACUGGGUGGAAAGGGGGCGCAGGCGGCGCAGCAAGCCAGGAGUGAAAGCCCGGGGCCCAACCCCGGGACUGCUCUUGAAACUGCGUGGCUGGAGUGCAGGAGGGGUAGGCGGAAUUCCUGGUGUAGCGGUGAAAUGCGUAGAGAUCAGGAGGAACACCGGUGGCGAAGGCGGCCUACCGGACUGCAACUGACGUUGAGGCCCGAAAGCGUGGGGAGCAAACAGGAUUAGAUACCCCAGUAGUC